CUUGAAAAUAGGGUGUGUGAGUAUGUUGACCACCUGCAUGAGCAUUUCAAGUAUCCCGUGAUGAUCCAGCGGGCUUCCUACAUGCCUCCCAAGGAUCCCGGCUACUCAACAGAAAUGAAGGAGGAAUCUGUAAAGAAACACCAGUAUCCAGAUGGUGAAGUUUGGAAGAAACUCCUUCCUGCUCAAGAAAAUUAAGUGCUCAGCCCCAACAACUUUUUUCUUUCUGAAGUGAAAGGGCUUAAAAUUUCUUGGAAAUAGUUUUACAAAAAUGGAUUUAAAAAAUCCUACCGAUCAAGAUGAGUUCAGCUAGAAGUCAUACCACCCUCAGGAAUCAGCUAAGUAAUUAUUACUUGAUUCUUUUAGCAAAUCAAUGCACGUUAUCCUACUUAAUCCUUAAAUAAGUUUAGAUUUAACUAACCCAAAGUCCAGGAGGAUGUUCUUACAAAAAUAGCUAUAUCAAGGGCUGGCACCUAGACAUUAAACUGUAAUUUGAAAA
rnacentral:lncRNA from 1 species